ensembl:lncRNA
CUUUGCUAGAAUUACCCUUUGACCUUUAAAUUUUUUUUUUUUUUUUUUGGUACCGGGGAUUGAACUCAGAACCUUGUCUUUCGAGGCAGGUGGUGGAACCACUGAGCUAAAUCCCCGGCCCGAAAUUUUUUUUUUGAGACAGGGUCUUGGUACAUGAGUUUGGGCUGGCCUUGAAGUCAAGGCAAUCCUCCUGCCUCAGCUUUUCAGAUAUGGGUCUAAUUUUACUCUUCAACAAGUGGAAACCCAGUUAUUCCAGGACCAUUUAUUAAAGAGGCUAUCUUUUUUCCAGGGAAGGUGUUUGACUCCUUUGUCUUUUUUGUUUGUUUGUGUUGUUUUUGGUACAGGGGAUGGAACUCAGGACCUUGAGCUUAUGAGGCAGGCACUGGAACCACUGAGUGAAAUCCCCAGCCCCUCCUUUGUCAAAGAGAAGGGGAUCGAACUCCGGUCCUUGCGCUGGAAACCACUGAGGGUCUUGCUGGCCUGGAAAGUGAAACCCUUCCUCCUCAGCCUCCUGCGCAGGUAGGAUUACAGCCCAGCUAUGGAAUUCCAAGACAUAAUUCCAUUUUGUCCUCCGCUCCCAACUGAGACCUCAAUGAUCCGGUGAUGCUGUGAUUCUCCAGGACAGGAAACAUCCUGGGAGCUGCAAACAUCCUGGGAGAACAAACAUCUACUCAGUUCCUCCUUGAUCUUGGACUGUUACACCUUGUUUACCCAGGAUGUACUGAACUCUCUGCGAGUCAUUUGUUACAUUUGUUUCUCCCGAUGUACUGAGUACUGAAUAAAAGGUGCAGUAAGCUGGGGGCUUUCUGCCUUUGCCCCCCAGAGCAGCACUGAUCAGACCCAAAGCUCAGCUUCUUCUCAGUCUCAUUUUUCUACCUUUUCUGUAAUUUGCCUUGUGCUGCUGUGGCUCGCAGGAGACUAGGACUUAACUGCAGAGGUUCUGGUAACGUCCCCUUUCCCUGUUCUCUACAACAGUGCUAUCACAUUAUCCUCUCAAUUGUAGGAUUACAGGUUGUGGCAUUUUAUCUAUAGUUUCAAGUGUUAUACAACGAAUCUGUAUUACUUGUAAAGCAAAACUAUAAGUGUGAAAAAGAAAAUCAUCUCUAGCUUUUUCAAAAGCAGAUUAUUUUGGCAUUUCCCCAGAACGGCUGUGUCUCAGCAUGGCACUGUGGGCCAUGAAGGGAUGCUCAGCAUCUGCACAGGGUCGUUCCUUGACUUCCUCUAAUACGGUGGACUGCGUUGUUUUUCUUUCUUUCUUUUUUUUUUUGGUACCGGGGAUUGGACUGCAUUUUUAAGAAGUUAUUGAGAAUGUAAUUGAGUUUCUUCUAGCUUCUCAUCCCUUCAGGGCUGCUGCCAACCUGGGAAUGUCCUGUCAGCUCGUUUGUGUAUCCUUGUGUCCUUCAGUGAGCCCUCCACUCACCCUAUGUGCAUUCUUCUAGGGACAUGAUAUUUCAACUCAAAAGGCAGCUUUUAAAGGGGAUAUAUUUACUCUGUGCUGCCACUAUGGAAAUCAGUACAGAGGUUCCACAAAAAACUAAAAACAGAGGGAAUGGAGAUUUAGCUCAGUGGUUCCGCCGCCUGCCUUGCAAGCACAAGGUCCUGAGUUCAAUCCCCGGUACCCCCCCCCCAAUAAAUAAAAUAAUCACAACUAUAAUGAAAAACAUUACAUUCUCACAAUUGAAAAAAAACCCCAAUAACAAAAAACUAAAAACAGCUAUUAUAAGCCCCAGGCCCCAGAGAUACCACUCCUUGGUGUACACAGGAAGGCAUUAGGCAGCCUACUAUAGGCAUACUGGGGAGCCAUAUUUAUUGCUGCAAAAUUCACCAUCGUCA